GCAGAUUGAAAAAGCAAACAGUCAUGCUGACAGAAAUUUGCAAAUUGAAAAAGCAACCAGUCAUACUAACAGAAAUUUGCAUUGUGACAUACAUAUGGAACCGACCAUUCCUCUUGAUGGAUCAGAAGUUGACAUGACUAAAAAGAAGAUAGCAGAUACCACUGUUGGGGUUUCGUGUAACAAUAACACACAAAGUGCUUCAGAUGUUACUUCUAUAGAACAAUCAACAUUGAAUGAAUCAAUGAAUGCAAG
rnacentral:misc_RNA from 1 species